rnacentral:rRNA from 1 species
GACGAAGGUGGCGAGCGUUGUUCGGAAUCACUGGGCAUAAAGCGCACGUAGGCGGCGGCGUAAGUUGGAUGUGAAAUCCCCUGGCCCAACCGGGGAACUGCGUCCAGUACUGCGUUGCUUGAGGAUCCAAGGGGUGCAUGGAAUUCCCGGUGGAGCGGUGAAAUGCGUUGAUAUCGGGAGGAACUCCGGCGGCGAAAGCGUUGCACUGGUGGAUUACUGACGCUGAGGUGCGAAAGCCAGGGGAGCAAACGGG